rnacentral:tRNA from 1 species
GGGCGAUUAGUAUAGUGGUAGUACAAUUCUCUCCAAAAGAAUUGGCGGGGGUUCGAUUCCUCCAUCGCCCG